AACGAACGCUGGCGGCAUGCCUAACACAUGCAAGUCGAACGAGACCUUCGGGUCUAGUGGCGCACGGGUGCGUAACGCGUGGGAACCUGCCCUUAGGUUCGGAAUAACUCCCCGAAAGGGGUGCUAAUACCGGAUAAUGUCUUCGGACCAAAGAUUUAUCGCCUUUGGAUGGGCCCGCGUUGGAUUAGCUAGUUGGUAGGGUAAAAGCCUACCAAGGCGACGAUCCAUAGCUGGUCUGAGAGGAUGAUCAGCCACACUGGGACUGAGACACGGCCCAGACUCCUACGGGAGGCAGCAGUGGGGAAUAUUGGACAAUGGGCGAAAGCCUGAUCCAGCAAUGACGCGUGAGUGAUGAAGGCCUUAGGGUUGUAAAGCUCUUUUACCCGGGAUGAUAAUGACAGUACCGGGAGAAUAAGCUCCGGCUAACUCCGU
rnacentral:rRNA from 1 species